rnacentral:lncRNA from 1 species
GGAAAGAGAAAUGAAAUAAAAUAAGUGGAAAGGUAAUAUUUUAUUUCCCUCUCUCCCUCUCUCUUCUUUUCUUUAUUCUCUUUCUUUUCUCUUUUCUCUCUCUCUCCUUUCCCUUUUCCCUUCCCCCUCGUGCGAAUUCUUUUCCCCCACCACCUAUUCUCUCUCUCCCUUCCCUUUUUGACCGGUCAAUGCAUAUCCUCUCCCCUCUCUUCUCUCUCCUCUCUCUUCUUCCUUCCCGCACACGAUAGAACCAGCUUCUUCUUCUCCUUCCUUCGUCGCGUGCGAACCAACAAACCGGAGCAGAAGCAGCGCAGCUCGUCGUCGCCACCGUCCCGCCGCCCGCGCCCGCCGCUGUCCCGCCGUCUGCGCACGCCCAGGCCGCGCGAUCCAGCCGCGACCCAGCCGCUGUUCACCCCUGUUCCAGCCCCGUCCGGCCACCUCCGGCCACCGCCUAGCCCCGCCGGACCUUCCCCGCGUCCCCCUCGCCCUCCGCCGGCUUCCCCUCGCCGCCCUAGCCGCCGAAGCAGCCCCGGCCAGCCCCGUCCAGCAAGCCCACGGAGUGGGUUUCAGCGACUUCGGGCCCGCUUUUGGGCCGUUUCCCGGCCCCGAACCCGAGCCGUGCUUUGGGAACAAUCGUUCCUCGCGUUGCCGCCGUCGGAUUGAUCCGAUUUGCGCGCGAUUUGGUGAGUAAUCUCACUAAUCCUGGAUUAGUUGGCUAAUUAUGCUUAAGGUUGGUUAAGAUUUAAUUAAUUAUGUUUAGGUUGUUAGAUUAGAAUAAAUUAGCAAUUAUUAGUCAAUUGUGAUGCGAUUUAGAUAAAUUGAUUGAGCAAUUAACAAGUAGACGCGGUCUACUAAUUAUUGGAAGUGCCUCGGGAUUUUUCCCGACCCUUAGUGGGCUCCAAUUAGGCUUUUCGGGCCUAAGUGGAUUUUUUUAGUAUUUAAAUAUUAAUUUUCGGAAUUAAAUAAAAUAAUUAUUUAUUUUCCGAAAAUUCAACUGAGAUGGCCCGGGACCGGAAUAUUGUGCUGAUGACCGUGGUGAAGUCCGUUUAUUUAAUCAGUCUUUAUUUUGAGCUAAAUUUUUUAAUAUUAAUUAUUUAAUUUUCGAAAUUAAUAAAUUAAUUAUUUAUUUUUCGGAAAUUAAGAUUUUGAUGGCCGACGACCGAAAUCUCGUGCUGAUCGUCGUGGUGCAGUCCGUUUAUUUAUUUGAGCUCCACGUUGUAUGGAAUUGAAUGAAUUGUGAUAUUUUAGGGAUUUACCCUAAAUUGAUUGGAAUCGAUUGAGAUUGAAUUAUUGAUUUGGUGAUUGGCCAAGUAUGUUAUUCGGCAUUUAUAAUGUUUUGUUGAGUUGAUUUAAUUAUUUGAUUGAGAAAUUGUUGGGCAUUGGUUGUCGGUAUUGAAAGAAGAUUGGUAAUCUCUUGAGAGAAUGCACGUGGGCUCGGUGAAUUGGAAUGUCACCUGGAGAAUGCACGUGAGUUCAGUGGUUGAAUAUGUCACCUUGGCGAAAAGGUCGCCUGAGAGAAUGCACGUGGCUCGGAGACUCAGUAUGUCGUCCUGGAGAAUGCACGUGGCUCGGUGACAGAGUUUGGCAUCUAAAAGGACACGUGGGCUCAGUGAAUUGAUGCAUCACUUUGGUGAGAUAGCACUUAAGAGAAUGCACGUGGGCCAAGGCAUCUAAAAAGGCACGUGGGCUCGGUGAAUUGAUGCAUCACUUUGGUGAGAUAGCACCUAAGAGAAUGCACGUGGGCCCGGGCAUCGUAAAAAGGGCACGUGGGCUCGGUGAAUUGAUGCAUCACUUUGGUGAGAUAGCACCUAAGAGAAUGCACGUGGGCCCAGGCAUCUAAAAGGGCACGUGGGCUCGGUGACUUGAUGUAUCACUUUGGCGAAGAGGUCGCCUGAGAGAAUGCACGUGGGCCCGAGGUUCGAGGCACGUGGACUCGGAGACUUGGAAUGUCGUCCUAGAGAAUGCACGUGGCCUCGCUUUUAGAUACUCCUCCGUGGAGAGUGAUUUGUGUGACAUGUAAUCGACUAGUUCGAUUUGUUUGAAGCGAAUGGCUGUUUAUUGUGAAUUGUACUGACUUGCAGGUGGGAUCAGAAGCCAAGGUAAGUCAUAUGCCCUGUGCGUGUUUAGGCAGCCUUUAGUAUAUUGGUUUACUAAUCGGGCUUAGUGGGGUAGAACUCGCUGAGACGUAGUCUCAUCCCAGUUUGGGGAAACCAUUUCAGGACCCCGCUGAAGAGCUGAGGAGGAGGAAUCCGAGAAGGAGAACUCGGAGGUGAGAUCUGAAGAAAAGGAUUUUUGGAAGAAGAAG